rnacentral:rRNA from 1 species
GGGAAUAUUGGACAAUGGGCGCAAGCCUGAUCCAGCAAUGCCGCGUGAGUGAUGAAGGCCUUAGGGUUGUAAAGCUCUUUUACCCGGGAAGAUAAUGACUGUACCGGGAGAAUAAGCCCCGGCUAACUCCGUGCCAGCAGCCGCGGUAAUACGGAGGGGGCUAGCGUUGUUCGGAAUUACUGGGCGUAAAGCGCGCGUAGGCGGCUUUGCAAGUCAGAGGUGAAAGCCCGGGGCUCAACCCCGGAACUGCCUUUGAAACUGCAUCGCUUGAAUGUCGGAGAGGUGAGUGGAAUUCCGAGUGUAGAGGUGAAAUUCGUAGAUAUUCGGAAGAACACCAGUGGCGAAGGCGGCUCACUGGACGACUAUUGGCGCUGAGGUGCGAAAGCGUGGGGAGCAAA